rnacentral:rRNA from 1 species
AGCGAACGCUGGCGGCAGGCUUAACACAUGCAAGUCGAACGGGCGUAGCAAUACGUCAGUGGCAGACGGGUGAGUAACGCGUGGGAACGUACCUUUUGGUUCGGAACAACCCAGGGAAACUUGGGCUAAUACCGGAUAAGCCCUUACGGGGAAAGAUUUAUCGCCGAAAGAUCGGCCCGCGUCUGAUUAGCUAGUUGGUGAGGUAACGGCUCACCAAGGCGACGAUCAGUAGCUGGUCUGAGAGGANGAUCAGCCACAUUGGGACUGAGACACGGCCCAAACUCCUACGGGAGGCAGCAGUGGGGAAUAUUGGACAAUGGGCGCAAGCCUGAUCCAGCCAUGCCGCGUGAGUGAUGAAGGCCCUAGGGUUGUAAAGCUCUUUUGUGCGGGAAGAUAAUGACGGUACCGCAAGAAUAAGCCCCGGCUAACUUCGUGCCAGCCGCCGCGGUAAG